rnacentral:rRNA from 1 species
GCCUAACACAUGCAAGUCGAGCGGUAGAGAGAAGCUUGCUUCUCUUGAGAGCGGCGGACGGGUGAGUAAUACCUAGGAAUCUGCCUGAUAGUGGGGGAUAACGUUCGGAAACGGACGCUAAUACCGCAUACGUCCUACGGGAGAAAGCAGGGGACCUUCGGGCCUUGCGCUAUCAGAUGAGCCUAGGUCGGAUUAGCUAGUUGGUGAGGUAAUGGCUCACCAAGGCUACGAUCCGUAACUGGUCUGAGAGGAUGAUCAGUCACACUGGAACUGAGACACGGUCCAGACUCCUACGGGAGGCAGCAGUGGGGAAUAUUGGACAAUGGGCGAAAGCCUGAUCCAGCCAUGCCGCGUGUGUGAAGAAGGUCUUCGGAUUGUAAAGCACUUUAAGUUGGGAGGAAGGGCAGUUACCUAAUACGUGAUUGUCUUGACGUUACCGACAGAAUAAGCACCGGCUAACUCUGUGCCAGCAGCCGCGGUAAUACAGAGGGUGCAAGCGUUAAUCGGAAUUACUGGGCGUAAAGCGCGCGUAGGUGGUUUGUUAAGUUGAAUGUGAAAUCCCCGGGCUCAACCUGGGAACUGCAUCCAAAACUGGCAAGCUAGAGUAUGGUAGAGGGUAGUGGAAUUUCCUGUGUAGCGGUGAAAUGCGUAGAUAUAGGAAGGAACACCAGUGGCGAAGGCGACUACUUGGACUGAUACUGACACUGAGGUGCGAAAG